AUUAUCAUCUUUCUCCAGAACACCGCUUACUAUCACAAUACAACGAUGGCUUCGGCACUCUCAAAUUCCUCAAUGAAACAAAAUAUCCACGGUUUUCCGGUAAUCUGGAACUUUCUUCUCGAAGUGAAGGCGGAUAGAGCCACCAGCGAAGGUCUGAGGAGAGAGAAAAAUCUUUUUUGGGCUAACUUUGUGAAUGUUGGAAAAUGAGAGAGAGAGAGAGAGAGAGAGAGAGAGAGAAGCUUGCAGACUGACAUGUAUUAUGUUGUACGUAUUUUUCGUAUAUUGCAACUUUCAUCUAACGGCU